UGCAAGUGGCAUAAUCAUAGCCGUAUCUUUAUAAAACGAAUUUGAUUAGCCAUUCAAAUAAUUUUCUUAAAUUUAUCUCUUGAUAGAACUCAAUUCUUCCCAGCGGUGGAGUAAUCGUAUUCUGCCGCCGAUUCUCGCGGGAAUCCGCCAUGAACUGCCUUCAAAGUCUUCCCAGAUCAUCGGCGUCUCCUCUGUCAAGAAAGAAGUGGAGCUUCUCAAGAAGGGCUUCUCUUUUGAGAAUGGAAAUGAAUCGAUCCAAUCUUCGGGUUCCAUCACAUCUCCAAGUUAUUGCUGCCAGGAAAGUAAGUCACUA